rnacentral:rRNA from 1 species
UACGGGGGGUGCGAGCGUUGUCCGGAAUCACUGGGCGUAAAGGGCGCGUAGGUGGUCUGAUAAGGGUGUGGUGAAAGCCCGGGGCUCAACCCCGGGUCGGCCGUGCCGACUGUUGGACUAGAGUGCUGUAGGGGCAGGCGGAAUUCCGGGUGUGGCGGUGGAAUGCGUAGAUAUCCGGAAGAACACCGGUGGCGAAGGCGGCCCGCUGGGCAGGAAGGCUCGCAAGAGCCGGCUGACGCUGAGGCGCGACAGCGUGGGGAGCAAACAGG